rnacentral:misc_RNA from 1 species
AACACUGUUAACCUGCGGUACCUGCGGAAGGAUCAUUAAAAAAAUCUUUUGCCCGCGGACUUGUCCAAGGCGCAAAACGACCCACACCUGUGUGCACUGUUAUCGUUUCUUUGGCAGGGGCUUGGGGUGAUUUUUCCCUCCAACUUCUCCUCGAGCUCUAUCCUCUUCUCUCUCGCGGGGGGGAGGACAGCUGGACAUGGGAAGCAGUUUACCCUGCCAAGUAAACCUCAAAACACGCUC